CCCUUAGAUGUUCUGGGCAGCACGCGCGCUACAAUGGUCUUCGCAAACGGAUGCAUUCUCGAAGGAGAAUGCCAAUCUUGGAAUCUAUGCCUUGGUCGGGACAGUUGCUUGCAAUUUUUCGACUCGAACCAGGAAUUCCUUGUAAUCGUGAUUCAUCACAUCACGAUGAAUACGUCCCUGCCCUUUGUACACACCGCCCGUCGCACCUACCGAUUGAAUGGUCCGGUGAAGUCUCCGGACUGAGUACUUUUAGUACUUGGGAAGUUGACUAAACCUUACUAUUUAGAGGAAGGUGAAGUCGUAACA
rnacentral:rRNA from 1 species